rnacentral:rRNA from 1 species
GAACGCUGGCGGCAGGUCUAACACACGCAAGUCGAGCGGUAACAUUCUAGCUUGCUAGAAGAUGACGAGCGGCGGACGGGUGAGUAACGCGUAGAAAUCUACCUAGUAGUGGGGGAUAGCCCAGAGAAAUUUGGAUUAAUACCGCAUACGCCCUACGGGGGAAAGCGGGGGAUCUUCGGACCUCGUGCUAUUAGAUGAGUCUGCGUCGGAUUAGCUUGUUGGUGAGGUAAUGGCUCACCAAGGCGACGAUCCGUAGCUGGUCUGAGAGGAUGAUCAGCCACACUGGAACUGAGACACGGUCCAGACUCCUACGGGAGGCAGCAGUGGGGAAUAUUGCACAAUGGGCGCAAGCCUGAUGCAGCCAUGCCGCGUGUGUGAAGAAGGCCUUAGGGUUGUAAAGCACUUUCAGCAGUGGGGAAAGGGGUGUCGUUAAUAGCGCCAUCCUGUGACGUUAACUGCAGAAGAAGGACCGGCUAACUCCGUG